rnacentral:rRNA from 1 species
GACGAACGCUGGCGGCGUGCUUAACACAUGCAAGUCGAACGAAGAGCGAUGGACUCUUGCUUCUAUCAAUCUUAGUGGCGAACGGGUGAGUAACGCGUAAUCAACCUGCCCUUCAGAGGGGGACAACAGUUGGAUACGACUUCUAAUCCCACAAAUGAUCUAAUCUCGGCAUCCCCGAUAUAUGUAAGCUGGCCUCUACAUGUAAGCUCUCCCUCAAGGAGGGUAUUGCGUCUGAUUAGCUAGUUGGUGGGGUACCGGCGCACCAAGGCGAUGCUCAGUAGCAGGUCUGCGAGGAGGAGCGGCAAAACUGGGACUGAGACACGGCCCAGAAUACUACGGGAGGGAGCAGGGGGGAAUCUUCCGCAAAGGAAGAAAGGCUGAAGGAGGAACGCCGCGUGAGUGACGAAGGCAGUCGGGUUGUAAAGCUCAGGUAGGCGGGACGAAAGGCAUUCUUGCGAACAGGGAGAAGGAUUGACGGUACCGGAAGAGAAAGCCACGGCUAACUACGUG